CUCUCCUCACCACCCCCCCCCCCCCCCCCCCUUCCGUGGACUGGCAGAGCCAGGGGACCCGGGAAGCACCCGUCAGCCAGACAGGCCAGGGCCAGACCCGGGGAGUCCUGGCUGGGGACCCACCUGGCCCCGUGUUCUGCCUGGGCCAUCUCAGGGUCAGAUGCCUCGGCCUCUCUGUGACGCCCCAAGCCCCCGCUCUGUUCUUCUCCUUCAAGGUUGCAGCAUUGGUAAGAAAGGAGGAGACGGUGAACCCAGGUCACGUUGGGCCAGCAGAUGAAACUUAACUGUGAGGCAGGGGUCCAGCGAGGCCCUGGGGUCAGAGUUAAGACCACAGCUUGGCCAGCUGCUGGCCGCGUGACCUGGUCAAGUCCCUCAGGGCCUUGGUGGACAGAGAUACGGAAUGGGUCGGCUGGAAACACCUCCCGCCUGACACGUGGUUGUGAGCCACGGGUGGUGCUCCGUGUGGAUUUCUGAGAGGGGGCCCGGCACAGUAAGUGCCAGCUGCCACCAUGGCCACCAUUUGCCAAUACUGCCUCCAGCCAGGUACAUCGGCAGGUGUUGGGUGACUGGGGCAAGGUCUCUGCCCCAUGGAUCUCACAAUCUAAUGGGGAAGAAAAAUAAAUGUGACAAAGAAAUGUAUUUCAAGUGCUG
rnacentral:lncRNA from 1 species